GAUGAACGCUGGCGGCUUGCCUAACACAUGCAAGUCGAGCGAUUCUCUUCGGAGAAGAGCGGCGGACGGGUGAGUAACGCGUGGGUAACCUGCCCUGUACACACGGAUAACAUACCGAAAGGUAUGCUAAUACGAGAUAACAUACUUUUAUCGCAUGGUAGAAGUAUCAAAGCUUUUGUGGUACAGGAUGGACCCGCGUCUGAUUAGCUAGUUGGUAAGGUAACGGCUUACCAAGGCGACGAUCAGUAGCCGACCUGAGAGGGUGAUCGGCCACAUUGGAACUGAGACACGGUCCAAACUCCUACGGGAGGCAGCAGUGGGGAAUAUUGCACAAUGGGCGAAAGCCUGAUGCAGCAACGCCGCGUGAGCGAUGAAGGCCUUCGGGUCGUAAAGCUCUGUCCUCAAGGAAGAUAAUGACGGUACUUGAGGAGGAAGCCCCGGCUAACUACGUGCCAGCAGCCGCGGUAACAC
rnacentral:rRNA from 1 species